CGUCAGGUAGCUCAGUUGGUAGAGCAACCCAGACAUGAUGGGGAGGUCCCAGGUUCGAUUCCUGGCCUGACGA